GGUUAAGCGACUAAGCGUACACGGUGGAUGCCCUGGCAGUCAGAGGCGAUGAAGGGCGUGCUAAUCUGCGAUAAGCGCCGGUAAGGUGAUAUGAACCGUUAUAACCGGCGAUACCCGAAUGGGGAAACCCAGUGUGACUCGUCACACUAUCAUUAACUGAAUCCAUAGGUUAAUGAGGCGAACCGGGGGAACUGAAACAUCUAAGUACCCCGAGGAAAAGAAAUCAACCGAGAUUCCCCCAGUAGCGGCGAGCGAACGGGGAGGAGCCCAGAGCCUGAAUCAGCAUGUGUGUUAGUGGAAGCGUCUGGAAAGGCGCGCGAUACAGGGUGACAGCCCCGUACACAAAAGCGCAUGUGCUGUGAGCUCGAUGAGUAGGGCGGGACACGUGGUAUCCUGUCUGAAUAUGGGGGGACCAUCCUCCAAGGCUAAAUACUCCUGACUGACCGAUAGUGAACCAGUACCGUGAGGGAAAGGCGAAAAGAACCCCGGCGAGGGGAGUGAAAAAGAACCUGAAACCGUGUACGUACAAGCAGUGGGAGCACAGGUUUACCUGUGUGACUGCGUACCUUUUGUAUAAUGGGUCAGCGACUUAUAUUCUGUAGCAAGGUUAACCGAAUAGGGGAGCCGGAGGGAAACCGAGUCUUAAUUGGGCGUUAAGUUGCAGGGUAUAGACCCGAAACCCGGUGAUCUAGCCAUGGGCAGGUUGAAGGUUGGGUAACACUAACUGGAGGACCGAACCGACUAAUGUUGAAAAAUUAGCGGAUGACCUGUGGCUGGGGGUGAAAGGCCAAUCAAACCGGGAGAUAGCUGGUUCUCCCCGAAAGCUAUUUAGGUAGCGCCUCGUGAAUUCAUCUCCGGGGGUAGAGCACUGUUUCGGCUAGGGGGCCAUCCCGGCUUACCAACCCGAUGCAAACUGCGAAUACCGGAGAAUGUUAUCACGGGAGACACACGGCGGGUGCUAACGUCCGUCGUGAAGAGGGAAACAACCCAGACCGCCAGCUAAGGUCCCAAAGUCAUGGUUAAGUGGGAAACGAUGUGGGAAGGCCCAGACAGCCAGGAUGUUGGCUUAGAAGCAGCCAUCAUUUAAAGAAAGCGUAAUAGCUCACUGGUCGAGUCGGCCUGCGCGGAAGAUGUAACGGGGCUAAACCAUGCACCGAAGCUGCGGCAGCGAACGUAUCACCCAAGACAACUUUACGGAGUUGACGAUUGACGGAGCGAAGCGACGUCAAAGCGUUCAUUAAAGUCGAGUUGGCUUAGGGAUACGUUCGUUGGGUAGGGGAGCGUUCUGUAAGCCUGUGAAGGUGGCCUGUGAGGGUUGCUGGAGGUAUCAGAAGUGCGAAUGCUGACAUAAGUAACGAUAAAGCGGGUGAAAAGCCCGCUCGCCGGAAGACCAAGGGUUCCUGUCCAACGUUAAUCGGGGCAGGGUGAGUCGACCCCUAAGGCGAGGCCGAAAGGCGUAGUCGAUGGGAAACGGGUUAAUAUUCCCGUACUUGGUGUUACUGCGAAGGGGGGACGGAGAAGGCUAUGUUGGCCGGGCGACGGUUGUCCCGGUUUAAGCGUGUAGGCUGGUUUUCCAGGCAAAUCCGGAAAAUCAAGGCUGAGGCGUGACGACGAGGCACUACGGUGCUGAAGCAACAAAUGCCCUGCUUCCAGGAAAAGCCUCUAAGCAUCAGGUAACAUCAAAUCGUACCCCAAACCGACACAGGUGGUCAGGUAGAGAAUACCAAGGCGCUUGAGAGAACUCGGGUGAAGGAACUAGGCAAAAUGGUGCCGUAACUUCGGGAGAAGGCACGCUGACACGUAGGUGAAGUGAUUUACUCAUGGAGCUGAAGUCAGUCGAAGAUACCAGCUGGCUGCAACUGUUUAUUAAAAACACAGCACUGUGCAAACACGAAAGUGGACGUAUACGGUGUGACGCCUGCCCGGUGCCGGAAGGUUAAUUGAUGGGGUCAGCGCAAGCGAAGCUCCUGAUCGAAGCCCCGGUAAACGGCGGCCGUAACUAUAACGGUCCUAAGGUAGCGAAAUUCCUUGUCGGGUAAGUUCCGACCUGCACGAAUGGCGUAAUGAUGGCCAGGCUGUCUCCACCCGAGACUCAGUGAAAUUGAACUCGCUGUGAAGAUGCAGUGUACCCGCGGCAAGACGGAAAGACCCCGUGAACCUUUACUAUAGCUUGACACUGAACAUUGAGCCUUGAUGUGUAGGAUAGGUGGGAGGCUUUGAAGUGUGGACGCCAGUCUGCAUGGAGCCGACCUUGAAAUACCACCCUUUAAUGUUUGAUGUUCUAACGUGGACCCGUAAUCCGGGUUGCGGACAGUGUCUGGUGGGUAGUUUGACUGGGGCGGUCUCCUCCUAAAGAGUAACGGAGGAGCACGAAGGUUGGCUAAUCCUGGUCGGACAUCAGGAGGUUAGUGCAAUGGCAUAAGCCAGCUUGACUGCGAGCGUGACGGCGCGAGCAGGUGCGAAAGCAGGUCAUAGUGAUCCGGUGGUUCUGAAUGGAAGGGCCAUCGCUCAACGGAUAAAAGGUACUCCGGGGAUAACAGGCUGAUACCGCCCAAGAGUUCAUAUCGACGGCGGUGUUUGGCACCUCGAUGUCGGCUCAUCACAUCCUGGGGCUGAAGUAGGUCCCAAGGGUAUGGCUGUUCGCCAUUUAAAGUGGUACGCGAGCUGGGUUUAGAACGUCGUGAGACAGUUCGGUCCCUAUCUGCCGUGGGCGCUGGAGAACUGAGGGGGGCUGCUCCUAGUACGAGAGGACCGGAGUGGACGCAUCACUGGUGUUCGGGUUGUCAUGCCAAUGGCACUGCCCGGUAGCUAAAUGCGGAAGAGAUAAGUGCUGAAAGCAUCUAAGCACGAAACUUGCCCCGAGAUGAGUUCUCCCUGAGACUUAGAGUCUCCUGAAGGAACGUUGAAGACGACGACGUUGAUAGGCCGGGUGUGUAAGCGCAGCGAUGCGUUGAGCUAACCGGUACUAAUGAACCGUGAGGCUUAACCUU
rnacentral:rRNA from 1 species